AGCGAACGCUGGCGGCAGGCCUAACACAUGCAAGUCGAGCGCCGUAGCAAUACGGAGCGGCAGACGGGUGAGUAACGCGUGGGAACGUGCCCUUUAGUUCGGAAUAACCCAGGGAAACUUGGGCUAAUACCGGAUACGCCCUUCGGGGGAAAGAUUUAUCGCUAAAGGAUCGGCCCGCGUAAGAUUAGCUAGUUGGUGAGGUAACGGCUCACCAAGGCUAUGAUCUUUAGCUGUUCUGAGAGGAAGAUCAGCCACACUGGGACUGAGACACGGCCCAGACUCCUACGGGAGGCAGCAGUGGGGAAUAUUGGACAAUGGGCGCAAGCCUGAUCCAGCCAUGCCGCGUGAGUGAUGAAGGCCUUAGGGUUGUAAAGCUCUUUUACCAGGGAAGAUAAUGACGGUACCUGGAGAAUAAGCUCCGGCUAACUCCGUGCCAGCAGCUGCGGUAAAAC
rnacentral:rRNA from 1 species